CGACGUGGGUAACCUGCCUCACACAGGGGGAUAGCAGUUGGAAACGGCUGAUAAUGCCGCAUAAGCGCACAGUACCGCAUGGUACAGUGUGAAAAACUCCGGUGGUGUGAGAUGGACCCGCGUCUGAUUAGCUUGUUGGCAGGGUAACGGCCUACCAAGGCAACGAUCAGUAGCCGACCUGAGAGGGUGACCGGCCACAUUGGGACUGAGACACGGCCCAG
rnacentral:rRNA from 1 species